rnacentral:rRNA from 1 species
AUGAGGACGCAGCGCGCCGGAUCUGACCGCGCACCGCCUUCUAAUCCACUCCCCCCACCACCGCCGCCCAUGCCGGCCGUCGGGGCGCGGCGCUCCACGCGGGCCUUCCUGCCCCGGGCGCACAAGCAGGCCCCGCGCCCGCCGGAGCCCGCCAGGGUCACGCGCGCCGCCAAGCGCCUCGCCGUCUCCUCCCACUCCCACUCCCACUGGCUCGGGUGGGAGCGCGCCGCCGCCGACGUCAGCGACGACGAGGAUGACGACGAGGGCCCCAAGCCGCGCACGCCGCCGCGCGAGCCCUCGCCCGAGCCGCCCAUGUCGCCCAGGUCCUUCGGGGCCGUGUACAGGCGCAAGCGCCGCCAGAGGCCGCCGGCCGAGGCCGAGCCGGAGUAUUUCGGCCACGGCCACGGCAGCCGCAGCGGCAGGAGGUUCGGGAUAGUCUUCACCAGGAAGCACAAGCGGCCAAAGCUCGCCCCUUUCAGCCCCGGCGGCGGCGACAUCCUCUGCUCCUCGUCCAGGGAGUUCGCUUCAAGGGCCGGGCUCCUGGAAGACGCUCAUUUUCCGGAUGGCGCUGCCAGCGGUCGCAGUGCUGUGCUCGUCGUCCUCAUGGACGCGUCCUCCCCCGGCAGCUCGAGCCGGUUCUCGCGCUUGCUCCUGCCCAUGCUGCUGUGGCUGCGCCGGCGCCAGCGGAGCCAUGUCCGGAGCCUGGCCUCCUUUCUUCUGGCCUCACCGGCUGUCGCCCCCGCGUUUGCGUCGCACGGGGUGCACUUCAUCAGGCUCCAGCGCCAGAGAGCCAGUGCAUUGUUGCAGAGGCCUACGGUGGUGAACUGCGGGUGGUGCGAGCUCCGUGGUGCCGACCCGUCCCGGCAGCCAGUGUUGUCGCUCAACUUCUCGGCGCUUCCUUUGUACUUCCAGGGCUUGCAUUCCGUGAUGGCUCUUCGUUUCAUAUAUAUGCCAGCCGUGAUUCGCCGGGCCAUGGGUUUGGUUGGAGGAGCUGAAGAAGGAUCGUAUUCUCGAGAUCAUCUGGUGGUGGAUUCUGGCGGUUCUCCCAGCACCGGGGACGCCACACCUGCUGCUGGAUCUUCUUACGGAGCGGUUCAGGAUUACGUGCCCCUUGAGCAAGCUCCGGGAGUAGUGCUGCAUGGUCUGAGGCUGAAGAAGCACCAGAGGAAGCGAAGCUCGAUGAGGCACCCCCUGAGCCGGCGCCGCCGUCUCACAGUGAGAUUUUCUGACAAGGAAUUUGGAGUGAAGGAGGGUGCCGCGACCUCUCAGGCGGAACUGCAAAAGACACCAUUGACUGGCGGCCCUGAGGUUUCCGAGGAACCUGUCCAGCCCAAGCCAGCAAUGGAAAUUUCUCUUGACCUGCUUGAGAACAUGGAUGACAGCGAUGUCUCGACGCCCAUGGGACCAAGCGGGAAGCAGAAGAGGUCUUUUUUCAAAAGCCCCGUUGAUCGCACGAGUGAAAGGCUGGCUCUGUCCGAGGUUAGACAGAAUAUAGACACCUUCCGCUGCAAAGCAAACCUCUUGAUUAUUCAGGCUGAUAGGUGCUGGAGGGAAGAGGGAGCUGAGGUUAUGCUGGAACUGUCAAACUCCAACGGGUGGUGCGUGGCCGUAAAGUUACAUGGUGUCACCAGAGUCUCCCUUAAGCCUUCAGAGCAGAGGUUCUAUGUCGUCAACCGCCACACCCAUGCCUACGUCUGGGCGGUCGAAGAUGGAUGGAAGCUCGAGUUCCCCGACAAAUGGGACUGGCUUUUGUUCAAAGAACUGCAUAUCGAGGGACGGGAGCGCAAUUCUCAGGGAAAGAUUAUCCCGAUUCCAGGUGUGCAUGAGGUCUCCGAUGGCAUGGGAGGGACUGUAGCAGAUCCAUUCUCACGCCCUGUGCCAGACUACAUCAGAACGGCGGAUGAUGAGGUUGCGCGGGCCCUCUCGAGAGAUUCAGCUUAUGACAUGGACUCGGAGGAUGAAGAGUGGCUCAUUCAGCUGAAGCAUGGGGCCUCCGAUAGAAGACGCACCCGCCUGAGCCAGAUUUCCUACGAAGAUUUUGAGAAAUUAAUAACCGUGUUCGAGAAGGACGCCUACAAUAAUCCCGAGGAAGCCAAUGAUGUGGACCAGCUUCUCUCCAGGCAUCCUGCUUUAGGCAUGGGUGACAAUGUCCUUGCCAUAUAUGAAUACUGGAUUAAUAAGAGAGAUAAGAAAGGCACACCUCUGCUUAGGAUAUUUCAGGGUGCACCUGCUGUAAGGCGAGGACGGCUGUCGCAGAAAUCUUCUGUAAAAAAGAAGAGAUCUGUGAAGAGACCACAGAGAAGCCAACCUGGCCGAGGAAAGCCCGGGUUCUUCUUGCAAGGUGGCGAAGGGGAGGCCUUGCAGAGGGUGGUGGAGGCCGACCGCGCGGCGAAGCAGGCCGUGGAGAAGGCGGUCCAGCUGCGCAGCAGGGCCCAGGCCCUCAUGGAGAGGGCCAACCUGGCGGCGUACAAGUCGGUGAUGGCGGUGAGGAUGGCGGAGGCCGCGAGCGUGUCUAACAAGUGCCGGGAUUUCGUAUGGAGGAGCCUCGACUAG